rnacentral:siRNA from 1 species
CUGAAUGAACCGUUUUUGGCACCA